CCUACGGGUGGCAGCAGUGGGGAAUAUUGGGCAAUGGAGGCAACUCUGACCUAGCAACGCCGCGUGAAUGAUGAAGGUCUUCGGAUUGUAAAGUUCUUUUCUAAGGGAAGAAGAAAGUGACGGUACCUUAGGAAUAAGCCUCGGCUAACUACGUGCCAGCAGCCGCGGUAAUACGUAGGAGGCAAGCGUUAUCCGGAAUGACUGGGCGUAAAGGGUGCGUAGGUGGUUUGACAAGUUAGUAGCGCAACUCCGGAGCUCAACUUCGGAACUACUACUAAAACUGUUGGACUUGAGUGCAGGAGGGGCAAUCGGAAUUCCUAGUGUAGCGGUGGAAUGCGUAGAUAUCACGAAGAACUCCGAUUGCGAAGGCAGCUUACUAAACUGCCACUGACAUUGAUGCUCGAAAGUGUGGGUAUCAAACAGGAUUAGAUACCCCUGUAGUC
rnacentral:rRNA from 1 species